GAUGAACGCUCGCGGCAGGCCUAACACAUGCAAGUCGAGGGAGAAGCCCUUUCGGGGGCAGAAACCGGCGCACGGGUGCGUAACGCGUAUGCAACCUACCUUUCACAGGGGGAUAGCCCGAAGAAAUUUGGAUUAAUACCCCAUAAUAUUAUUGGAUGGCAUCAUUUGAUAAUUAAAACUGCGGUGGUGAAAGAUGGGCAUGCGUCCUAUUAGCUAGUUGGAGUGGUAACGGCACCCCAAGGCUACGAUAGGUAGGGGUCCUGAGAGGGAGAUCCCCCACACGGGUACUGAGACAGGGACCAUACGACUACGGGAGGCAGCAGUGAGGAAUAUUGGUCAAUGGUCGGAAGACUGAACCAGCCAUGCCGCGUGCAGGAAGAAUGCCUUAUGGGUUGUAAACUGCUUUUAUAUGGGAAGAAUAAGGCGUACGUGUACGUUGAUGACGGUACCAGAUGAAUAAGCAUCGGCUAACUCCGUG
rnacentral:rRNA from 1 species